UGGCAAGCAAGAUGGCUCAGCAGGUAACAGUACUUGCCAACAAGCCUGACAACCUGAGCUCGAUCCCCAAGGACCCAUGUAGUAGAAGACAGUGAAGCUGCAUUUGCUCUGCACUGCAGUUGCUGUGAACACAGCUGGAGGCUGAAGAGGCAGAGCAUACCUGCAAGAAAAACCAUAUGCAUGCAUCUGGGAAGGCGGCCUGCCCCAUAAAGCACUUGCCAUGCAAGCCUUAGAGCGUGAGUCCAGAUCCCCAGCACACAUACAAAAAGCUGGCCAUGGUGUUGAGAACCCAUAAUCCUAGAAUUGAAGAGGAGGAGACUGGCUCUUCUCUUUUAAUCACUGGCAUGGAAAAAUAAUAUGCCAGGAAAAUCGCAAUGGUCCAAACAGGGAAAGAGCUGCAGGCAAAGGAGAAAUCAAUCACUCUUCAUUCCCUGGCAAUCUGGAGCGCACAAC